CCUACGGGUGGCAGCAGUGGGGAAUAUUGCACAAUGGGGGAAACCCUGAUGCAGCAACGCCGCGUGGGUGAAGGAGUCCUUCGUGAUGUAAAGCUCUAUCAGCAGGGAAGAAAAUGACGGUACCUGACUAAGAAGCCCCGGCUAACUACGUGCCAGCAGCCGCGGUAAUACGUAGGGGGCAAGCGUUAUCCGGAUUUACUGGGGGUAAAGGGUGCGUAGACGGCGACGCAAGGCUGAAGUGAAAGGCCAGUGCCAAACGCUGGAACUGCUGUGGAAACUGGGUGGCUAGAGUGCAGGAGAGGGAAGUGGAAUUCCUAGUGUAGCGGUGAAAUGCGUAGAUAUUAGGAGGAACACCAGUGGCGAAGGCGGCUUGCUGGACUGUAACUGACGUUGAGGCUCGAAGGCGUGGGGAGCAAACAGGAUUAGAUACCCGAGUAGUC
rnacentral:rRNA from 1 species